GGUGAACCUGCGGAAGGAU
rnacentral:ncRNA from 6 species